AAAUUAUAUGCAUAUAUAUAUAGUUUGUCUAAUUAGAAAUAGUUUGUCAAAAUCAUUUGUCUAAUUAGAAAUAGUUUGUCAAAAUCAUAUGCUCUAAUCAUAUGCUCUAAUCCUUUAAGUUUAAAUUAUCAAUUUUUUUUUUCUAUUUCAUCCAUAAAUUAUCAAUUUUACCAUUCAAUCCUUCAAGUUUUUUAUUUUUUUAUUUUUUCCAAAUCAUAUGCUCUAAUUAGAAAUAGUUUGUCAAAAUCAUUUGUCUAAUUAGAAAUAGUUUGUCAAAAUCAUAUGCUCUAAUCAUAUGCUCUAAUCCUUUAAGUUUAAAUUAUCAAUUUUUUUUUUCUAUUUCAUCCAUAAAUUAUCAAUUUUACCAUUCAAUCCUUCAAGUUUUUUAUUUUUUUAUUUUUUCCAAAUCAUAUGCUCUAAUUAGAAAUAGU